UACAGAGGUCCCAAGCGUUGUUCGGAUUCACUGGGCGUAAAGGGUGCGUAGGUGGCGAGGUAAGUCGGAUGUGAAAGCUCGGAGCUCAACUCCGAAAUGGCAUUGGAAACUACCUUGCUAGAGGGUCGGAGGGGGGACUGGAAUUCUUGGUGUAGCAGUGAAAUGCGUAGAUAUCAAGAGGAACACCAGUGGCGAAGGCGAGUCCCUGGACGACUCCUGACACUGAGGCACGAAAGCUAGGGGAGCAAACAGG
rnacentral:rRNA from 1 species